GUUUGAUCAGUGGGCCAGUAGCUGCUGCAGCGCCGCUCGGCCGAGCCGAGCCAAUCCGAUCAGUGCCCCCGGCCGCCGCGAUCCAUUGCAUGUAGCCAGCCAGAUCCAGGUGUGGUGAGCUCUUCUGUACCCCUCCUUUCCAUGGAUGGAUGAUGGCACCGGAGUCUGCUACAACGGUGAUGCCUUUAGAUCCCUCCAUACGAGGAGAUCUCGAAGACCAAGGAGGCAAUCUCGCCAAGUUCAUCGAAUAAUUCUUGGGGUACAUGGCAAAGGACGAAUACUGCCAUGCCACAUGUUGCCCUCUGGUCGCAACGCCUACCUCGGACAUCAUGUCUUAGCCGUGCUGCCCUAGCUCCGGUCUCGAUUGCAUCCUCGCGCUGAGGGGUGUGACGCCAUCAAGUCCAUUGUGGCGGCCCAUACCAACAGACUUCCAGCCAGCAUCAACCAGGUUUAUCCAAAAGUAAGGAUUCAUUGAAUUUUUGUAAAUUAGAAUUUCCCUAAUGUACAGGGCAGGACAUUCUUGUUGGACUUAUGGAUGUAUGCUCUAUUGUAAGAAACUAUCACCUUGUGUCUGUAGCAUGCAACCAUAUAGAUUUUACAAACAA